UCGAUUGAGUUUGAUCAUGGCUCAGGACGAACGCUGGCGGCGUGCUUAACACAUGCAAGUCGAGCGGUAAGGCCCUUCGGGGUACACGAGCGGCGAACGGGUGAGUAACACGUGGGUGACCUGCCCUCCACUCUGGGAUAAGCCUGGGAAACUGGGUCUAAUACCGGAUAUGACCACAUGUCGCAUGGUGUGUGGUGGAAAGCUUUACGUGGUGGGGGAUGGACCCGCGGCCUAUCAGCUUGUUGGUGGGGUAAUGGCUUACCAAGGCGACGACGGGUAGCCGGCCUGAGAGGGCGACCGGCCACACUGGGACUGAGACACGGCCCAGACUCCUACGGGAGGCAGCAGUGGGGAAUAUUGCACAAUGGGCGAAAGCCUGAUGCAGCGACGCCGCGUGAGGGAUGACGGCCUUCGGGUUGUAAACCUCUUUCAGCAGGGACGAAGCGAGAGUGACGGUACCUGCAGAAGAAGCACCGGCCAACUACGUGCCAGCAGCCGCGGUAAUACGUAGGGUGCGAGCGUUGUCCGGAAUUACUGGGCGUAAAGAGCUCGUAGGCGGUUUGUCACGUCGGCUGUGAAAACCCAUCGCUCAACGGUGGGCUUGCAGUCGAUACGGGCUGACUUGAGUACUGCAGGGGAGACUGGAAUUCCUGGUGUAGCGGUGAAAUGCGCAGAUAUCANGAGGAACACCGGUGGCGAAGGCGGGUCUCUGGGCAGUAACUGACGCUGAGGAGCGAAA
rnacentral:rRNA from 1 species